CAACCUCAACUCAUAUGGGACUACCCCCUGAAUUUAAGCAUAUUAAUUAGGGGAGGAAAAGAAACUAACAAGGAUUUUCUUAGUAGCGGCGAGCGAAAAGAAAUCAGUUCAGCACUAAGUCACUUUGUCUAUAUGGCAAAUGUGAGAUGCAGUGUAUGGAGCGUCAAUAUUCUAGUAUGAGAAAUUAACGAUUUAAGUCCUUCUUAAAUGAGGCCAUUUACCCAUAGAGGGUGCCAGGCCCGUAUAACGUUAAUGAUUACUAGAUGAUGUUUCCAAAGAGUCGUGUUGCUUGAUAGUGCAGCACUAAGUGGGUGGUAAACUCCAUCUAAAACUAAAUAUAACCAUGAGACCGAUAGUAAACAAGUACCGUGAGGGAAAGUUGAAAAGAACUCUGAAUAGAGAGUUAAACAGUACGUGAAACUGCUUAGAGGUUAAGCCCGAUGAACCUGAAUAUCCGUUAUGGAAAAUUCAUCAUUAGAAUUGUAAUAUUUAAACAAUAUUAUGAUAAUAGUGUGCAUUUUUUCCAUAUAAGGACAUUGUAAUCUAUUAGCAUACCAAAUUUAUCAUAAAAUAUAACUUAUAGUUUAUUCAAAUUAAUUUGCUUGCAUUUUAACACAGAAUAAAUGUUAUUAAUUUGAUAAAGUGCUGAUAGAUUUAUAUGAAUACAGUGCGUUAAUUUUUCGGAAUUAUAUAAUGGCAUAAUUAUCAUUGAUUUUUGUGUUUAUUAUAUGCACUUGUAGGAUUAACAAUGCGAAAGAUUCAGGAUACCUUCGGGACCCGUCUUGAAACACGGACCAAGGAGUCUAACAUAUGUGCAAGUUAUUGGGAUAUAAACCUAAUAGCGUAAUUAACUUGACUAAUAAUGGGAUUAGUUUUUUAACUAUUUAUAGCUAAUUAACACAAUCCCGGGGCGUUCUAUAUAGUUAUGUAUAAUGAUAUUUAUAUUAUUUAUGCCUCUAACUGGAACGUACCUUGAGCAUAUAUGCUGUGACCCGAAAGAUGGUGAACUAUACUUGAUCAGGUUGAAGUCAGGGGAAACCCUGAUGGAAGACCGAAACAGUUCUGACGUGCAAAUCGAUUGUCAGAAUUGAGUAUAGGGGCGAAAGACCAAUCGAACCAUCUAGUAGCUGGUUCCUUCCGAAGUUUCCCUCAGGAUAGCUGGUGCAUUUUAAUAUUAUAUAAAAUAAUCUUAUCUGGUAAAGCGAAUGAUUAGAGGCCUUAGGGUCGAAACGAUCUUAACCUAUUCUCAAACUUUAAAUGGGUAAGAACCUUAACUUUCUUGAUAUGAAGUUCAAGGUUAUGAUAUAAUGUGCCCAGUGGGCCACUUUUGGUAAGCAGAACUGGCGCUGUGGGAUGAACCAAACGUAAUGUUACGGUGCCCAAAUUAACAACUCAUGCAGAUACCAUGAAAGGCGUUGGUUGCUUAAAACAGCAGGACGGUGAUCAUGGAAGUCGAAAUCCGCUAAGGAGUGUGUAACAACUCACCUGCCGAAGCAACUAGCCCUUAAAAUGGAUGGCGCUUAAGUUGUAUACCUAUACAUUACCGCUAAAGUAGAUGAUUUAUAUUACUUGUAAUAUAAAUUUUGAAACUUUAGUGAGUAGGAAGGUACAAUGGUAUGCGUAGAAGUGUUUGGCGUAAGCCUGCAUGGAGCUGCCAUUGGUACAGAUCUUGGUGGUAGUAGCAAAUAAUCGAAUGAGACCUUGGAGGACUGAAGUGGAGAAGGGUUUCGUGUGAACAGUGGUUGAUCACGAGUUAGUCGGUCCUAAGUUCAAGGCGAAAGCCGAAAAUUUUCAAGUAAAAUACAAAUGCCAAACAAAUAUAUAUAUUAUAUAAAAUCUAGCUAAAUUAAUAUACUUGAAUAAUUUUGAACGAAAGGGAAUACGGUUCCAAUUCCGUAACCUGUUGAGUAUCCGUUUGUUAUUAAAUAUGGGCCUCGUGCUCAUCCUGGCAACAGGAACGACCAUAAAGAAGCCGUCGAGAGAUAUCGGAAGAGUUUUCUUUUCUGUUUUAUAGCCGUACCACCAUGGAAGUCUUUCGCAGAGAGAUAUGGUAGAUGGGCUAGAAGAGCAUGACAUAUACUGUUGUGUCGAUAUUUUCUCCUCGGACCUUGAAAAUUUAUGGUGGGGACACGCAAACUUCUCAACAGGCCGUACCAAUAUCCGCAGCUGGUCUCCAAGGUGAAGAGUCUCUAGUCGAUAGAAUAAUGUAGGUAAGGGAAGUCGGCAAAUUAGAUCCGUAACUUCGGGAUAAGGAUUGGCUCUGAAGAUUGAGAUAGUCGGGCUUGAUUGGGAAACAAUAACAUGGUUUAUGUGCUCGUUCUGGGUAAAUAGAGUUUCUAGCAUUUAUGUUAGUUACUUGUUCCCCGGAUAGUUUAGUUACGUAGCCAAUUGUGGAACUUUCUUGCUAAAAUUUUUAAGAAUACUAAUUGGGUUAAACCAAUUAGUUCUUAUUAAUUAUAACGAUUAUCAAUUAACAAUCAAUUCAGAACUGGCACGGACUUGGGGAAUCCGACUGUCUAAUUAAAACAAAGCAUUGUGAUGGCCCUAGCGGGUGUUGACACAAUGUGAUUUCUGCCCAGUGCUCUGAAUGUCAAAGUGAAGAAAUUCAAGUAAGCGCGGGUCAACGGCGGGAGUAACUAUGACUCUCUUAAGGUAGCCAAAUGCCUCGUCAUCUAAUUAGUGACGCGCAUGAAUGGAUUAACGAGAUUCCUACUGUCCCUAUCUACUAUCUAGCGAAACCACAGCCAAGGGAACGGGCUUGGAAUAAUUAGCGGGGAAAGAAGACCCUUUUGAGCUUGACUCUAAUCUGGCAGUGUAAGGAGACAUAAGAGGUGUAGAAUAAGUGGGAGAUAUUAGACCUCGGUUUGGUAUCGCCAAUGAAAUACCACUACUCUUAUUGUUUCCUUACUUACUUGAUUAAAUGGAACGUGUAUCAUUUCCUAGCCAUUAUACGGAUAUAUUUAUUAUAUCUUAUGGUAUUGGGUUUUGAUGCAAGCUUCUUGAUCAAAGUAUCACGAGUUUGUUAUAUAAUCGCAAACAAAUUCUUUAAUAAAACGGUGCAUUUAUGUAUUUUUGAUUUGAAAAUUUGGUAUAACUCCAAUUACUCAGGUAUGAUCCAAUUCAAGGACAUUGCCAGGUAGGGAGUUUGACUGGGGCGGUACAUCUCUCAAAUAAUAACGGAGGUGUCCCAAGGCCAGCUCAGUGCGGACAGAAACCACACAUAGAGCAAAAGGGCAAAUGCUGACUUGAUCUCGGUGUUCAGUACACACAGGGACAGCAAAAGCUCGGCCUAUCGAUCCUUUUGGUUUAAAGAGUUUUUAACAAGAGGUGUCAGAAAAGUUACCAUAGGGAUAACUGGCUUGUGGCGGCCAAGCGUUCAUAGCGACGUCGCUUUUUGAUCCUUCGAUGUCGGCUCUUCCUAUCAUUGUGAAGCAAAAUUCACCAAGCGUUGGAUUGUUCACCCAUGCAAGGGAACGUGAGCUGGGUUUAGACCGUCGUGAGACAGGUUAGUUUUACCCUACUAAUGACAAAACGUUGUUGCGACAGCAUUCCUGCGUAGUACGAGAGGAACCGCAGGUACGGACCAAUGGCACAAUACUUGUUCGAGCGAACAGUGGUAUGACGCUACGUCCGUUGGAUUAUGCCUGAACGCCUCUAAGGUCGUAUCCGUGCUGGACUGCAAUGAUAAAUAAGGGGCAAUUUGCAUUGUAUGGCUUCUAAACCAUUUAAAGUUUAUAAUUUACUUUUUAAACGACAAUGGAUGUGAUGCCAAUGUAAUUUGUAACAUAGUAAAUUGGGAGGAUCUUUGAUCACCUGAUGCCGCGCUAGUUACAUAUAAAAGCAUUAUUUAAUACAAUGACAAAGCCUAGAAUCAAUUGUAAACGACUUUUGUAACAGGCAAGGUGUUGUAAGUGGUUGAGCAGCUGCCAUACUGCGAUCCACUGAAGCUUAUCCUUUGCUUGAUGAUUCGA